UGCACAUACUCUCUUUGAGGUUCAAAAUCCCCAGUAUGACUCUUUGUAAUGUACUUUCCAUACAAUUUUGAUUUAAACAGAGAAUAGGGUUGUGGCCAAAAGAGUUUCUCAUCUUUGUGCACAGAUGCCUACACACAAACACACACAUGCAAGGUAAAAACUCUGAGUCAUAUGCAAAGGCUCAAUCGUAAUGUUGGAAACAGGAGCAGACAAAUGGAAAGUACAAUGUAAAGCACAUUUGUCACUGCAAGGUACAAACAUGUACUCUUUAUAAUCCUUAUUUAUGUUUAUUCCAAAACAUUCCAAAAUCCUAAAGCAUUAGUAAAGGGUUCCAGCUUGAGCUUGCUCUUCUGAGUCCAGUGGAACAAAGUGAUCAUACCAUACUGAGCCUGCAUGUCUUGCUAUUACUCUACACAGCUAUUCUAGUGAAGAUACGGCCACAGAAUUGUUCUAGGGCUCCAUUCUGUGUUCACUGAAAUCAUUGGUGAAAGCUGUAUAUGGCUUCAGUGGUUCAGGAUCUGGGCCCGAGCGGGUAGAAUAUCCAAAUGAGUUCAGGGGUGUGGAGAAGACUAAAGCGAACUGCAGAAUGAGAAGAGAAACAAAAGGAUUCAGCUGCAGUGGGACUACCCAGAAUGGAACAGCUGAUCAUGAAUGCAGUAUCACAGCCAUUUCAUCCCAGAAGGAGUUUAAGCCACAGGGAGCAUGUAUGCCAGUAAUAUGAGACUUCGAGACUUUGCUGACAUUCAACAAUCAAUACCAUUCAGUAGCCAUCUCCAGUACUUCCUGGUUCUCCUUAUAGAGACUGAGCUUGAUGAAAUUAUGUUUUGUUACUGGCACCUUUCCCAGCAUUGCAUCUUUGUACCUAUAGCCAACAAGCUUCCUCUCCCCAUAAAGGAAGCAUGUAAAAACUUCCUUGGGCUGUCUGUUACGCUAUAUCUAUUAACACCUACAUGCUAUGUGGAAAUCUCUAUCACCAAUAGAGAAAUCUAGAGUAGUCCACAAAGACUCUAUGUGGGAUGUGGCAACUGUGAUUCCAAGAGACUGACCAAUAUUUGAACCUGUUUGGUUUUGUUUCCAGAUUAGGCUGCUUCUGGGUAUGCAGCCAUUUCCUUGUGCCAGCCCAGAUCAUUCAAAAUUGUUUGAUUGCAUGAGAUUUGUCAUUAAAAACAAAAGGAAGGAGCAAUAAAACAUUGUAUGGAACUGUAAAUAACCUGAGA
rnacentral:lncRNA from 1 species